rnacentral:rRNA from 1 species
AUUGAACGCUGGCGGCAUGCCUUACACAUGCAAGUCGAACGGCAGCAUGGAGAGCUUGCUCUCUGAUGGCGAGUGGCGAACGGGUGAGUAAUGCAUCGGAACGUACCGUGUAAUGGGGGAUAACGUAGCGAAAGUUACGCUAAUACCGCAUACGACCUGAGGGUGAAAGCAGGGGAUCGCAAGACCUUGCGUUAUACGAGCGGCCGAUGUCAGAUUAGCUAGUUGGUGAGGUAAAGGCUCACCAAGGCGACGAUCUGUAGCGGGUCUGAGAGGAUGAUCCGCCACACUGGGACUGAGACACGGCCCAGACUCCUACGGGAGGCAGCAGUGGGGAAUUUUGGACAAUGGGGGCAACCCUGAUCCAGCCAUGCCGCGUGAGUGAAGAAGGCCUUCGGGUUGUAAAGCUCUUUCGGCCGGGAAGAAAUCGCACAGGCUAAUACUCUGUGUGGAUGACGGUACCGGCAUAAGAAGCACCGGCUAACUACGUGCCAGCAGCCACGGUAA